CCUUCUGUCUCCCCAGCCUUUGCCUAGCCUUUGGGGACCAUGUCAUGACGAAUGCUGAUGAAUCUCUCUGGGGACCUGCAACCUCAGAAAUACAUUCUCUUAUCACUGGGAUGGGUCUGGCUGGCUAAAGCUUGCCUGUUGGUCAUCCCCCUCUGUACUGUCUUGUCUCUAACAUAACAUCCUUUUCAUUCAUCCCGUGUGUCAGGCACUGAUCUAGGCACUGGGGAGUGAACAACACAGCCUUACUCUGGAGUUAACAGAACGGGCAUAGAGAGCUAGCUUCAUCUUCUGCCAGCGCCUCCUAUUGGCCAGACCCACCUGGAAGCCAGAGGACAAGGCCGUCCAUUGAUGCAGCCAGUAGAGAUUCCUGUGAACUUCACUUUGUCGUGGAAGAGGGCUCAAGCUCUAGCCAAAGGAAGAGGUAAUGAAAAGCCCUGGGGAGGCAUUUCCCUUCUCUGAAACAGGAGGACAGGGAGGAGGACAAGCUUCAAGGGCCAGGGAGCCCUGGACAGGCAGGGGCCAUCAGGGCAUCAUGGUUCAGACCUGAGCAGGAGGAGAUGGGGUCUGGAGGAAGGCUGUGCACACGGACGACUCCAGCGGUCUGAGCCCAGGGCCUGGGAGGCCAAGAUGCCCAGCGAUGUCCCACCCAGUGGAGGGUCCUACGACAGGGACACCGCCACCUCCAGAGCUGCAGGGCCGGCAGCUGCUCAAUAGAAGUGAGUUUCGUUCUCUUCACUCUUUUCCAUACUCAGUUCUCACCCCCCCCCAUCUCCUCCUCCAAGAACCGCCCCCCCCCCAGCCCCCAGCCCGCAUCCCUUCCCCUGGCGGAGCCCUGAUCUAAUGGGGGCAGUCUCAGAGCUGCCAAUGGGCACAUUCAAGUCCCACCUCCUGGCUCCUGCUCUGCACUGAAAUGUGCUUGGUACAUUCAUUCGAUCGACUGAUAGUUGUUUCACCUACUGUGGGCCAGGCUCUAGGCUAGACACUGGGGAUUCAGCAGGGAGCAAGACGGACACCUACAGAGCUCAGAAUCUGAGGGGGACCCAGGAGGGAUCAUGUGGUAGGCGGGGUGGGGGGGGAGGCCAUGGGAGCCCAGAGGAGCUAGUGUGAGGCCCCAGGGACCACUCCCUGGGAGAAAGGAAGGCAGAGCUUCCACAGGGAUCUCCUACAACCUCCGAUCAGCUUCUCCCUGCUAAAACGCUCCAGCGGCGGCCACUGUGCUUGCAAUGAAAUCCCAGACCCUUGAGACUUGGCCCCCAUCGUCUUCCUCGACCUCCCAGCUCUCGGUCACUGUGUGCCCAGCAUUCUGGCCCCCUCACCCUUCCUCCUCUGGGCCUUUGCACUCGCCCUUCCCUCUGCCUGGAACACCCUUCCUCUGGCUGCUUGCUCCUGUGUGGCUUCUUCUCCUCCUUCAGGUCUCAGCUGUAAUGUCCCCUAACUCAGUGAGGCCUGUCCUGCCUGCCCCUGUCACUGAAAUCUCUCCUCCCCCCUUGCCACAGUCCAUGGUUCUUAUUUGUUUGC